rnacentral:sRNA from 1 species
GGCGCCAGCCAUGGCCUCUGGGGCGGGCGGGAGCUGGGGUCGCUCCCCACCGCAGAGCGCAGUCCCGACGCCCUGGGUCACCGUCCUGCAGCCCCUCUCGUGGACCAUCCCACCUGCGCCCCCGCAGCCAGGCCGCGUGAAGGAAGGUGAGACUCCCGGGUCCCCCCACUCCAUCCCUACCAUCACCACCACUCACCCCCUUCUGCCCCGCACAUCCUCUGGGAGUCCCCACAGCACAACCCGCCAACCCAUUCUUCGCCCCCUGGGACAGGGGUGUCAGGGGGAGGGGGACUCGGAGGCCCGGCGUGGGCUUGAUGAACCCCGCUUCCUAGACCUGCUGGAAUUGAUGAUGCUGCAGAACGCGCAGAUGCACCAGCUGCUGCUGAGUCGCCUGGUGGCUGGAGCGCUGCAGCCCGGGCCCGCCUCGCCCUGCCCUCAGGUCUACCUGGAGGUUCCACAGGAAGAGCCUGAGGAGGAGGAGGAGGAGGAGAUGGACGUGCAGGAGAAAGGGCCUUUGGUGUUUCACCACCACUACUUGCCUUGUUUGAUGCCCUCCCCGGGUGCCCUGCUGCCCUGGCCAGGCCCCUUCUUCCCCACCCCCGCUUGUCAGCCCUACUUGCAGGACGUGCCCACGAUUCAGCACUGUCCUGCCUCCAGGGAAAGGGAGGUGAGAGCUGUGCCCCCACCCCCACCCCCCAGUGCCACAGGGACUGUGGGUGCCGAUGUACCCCCGGCUUCAGACUACUAUGAUGCCGAGAGCCUCCUAUGAGGACAGACCCUGGCCCUGGGAACUGCACCAGCUUCCUGCUCUGGAUACAGCCCUGGAGCCGCCUCCUGCACCUCUCUUGUUGACUCCCCUGUGCCCGUGGCUGGCAGUCCUUCUCACUCCCUCAACCUCAGCCAGGCCCUCUUCUCCUGGGGAAAUCAGUCCCUGCCCCACCCCAGUGAGUUCCUGGAUGGGCCAGAUCUGUGCUGUUGUGUAAGAGCUUCUUAGAGCACACCCCGGCCCUUGAAGCCAUGUCAGCCCACCUCUGCCCCACUGCUUCCUGCCUGGAGCAGGGGGAGGCCUGGGAACAGAGCCCCCCACCCUCUCUCCCUCACCCCUCUCUCUGGGAUGAUGAGGUCUCCUUCCAGCCUAGUAAUGGAGCAAGAGGGGAGUAGAGGGUUCCUUCUGCUUUCCAGAGCUUUGAAGGCCCCUUUGAGGUGGCUGGAAGGGCGCAGAGUGGUGGGGGAGAGGCCUUGCUGGGCAGCGCCCCUGAGCAGAGUCAGUUCCCUGGGCCCCCAACUCUCGUCCCAGGAAGCAGCUCUGUUGGCAGAAAGGAGAGGUCAGAGCUUUGUCCUGCUGUGGCCAGGAGUGGCCUGAGGUCUCCUGGGGGCCAGGUGGGAACAGUGUGUCCUCUGCCCCCUGGGCCAGGGUGUGUUUCCCCCACCCUCCCUCAGUAGGAAUGAGCUACUCAGACCAGAUGGGGGCCUGGCGCCUGGACUGGGAGCCCCCUGUGAAGGAGAGGGUAGGGAGGGAGGCAUCUAGGGAAAGGGGUCCCGCAUGGUGGCCCCCCUCCCUGGCCAUUGUUAUCCCAGGAGGAGACACUGUGGGCACAGGGCUAAGUCCAGGUGUUUGUAUUUGGGCUAGAAAAGGCAAUGUCCCAAGUCUCUGCUGCCUGGUACAGUACUUCAGCCAGGGCUGGACCUCAACCCUGAGGAGUCACACUGAGUUCCAGUGACCACCGUGGUGGUGGCCAUGCCAUUCAUGCGUGCUAUGGCCGGAAGGCCUGGGGCAGCCUCCUCCAAGCCGCUCGCACCCCAUAGGUGCCCGUCCGCCGCUGGCGCCAGUGCUGGCUGAAGAUGAAGCAGAGCAGGACAGAUGUCACGAACAGGAACAGCAACACCGACACCACCGUGACUAUGAUGACCAUCUGGCUGUCCGACACGGGCUCUGGGGAGGGAGGGGGCAAGGGUCUUAGACGUCCUGUGAUCCCAGUUACCAGGGACCAAAAGGGAGUGGAAGUCCACCCCCGACCCAGCCCCCCAGCCCCCGCCGCCCACUCAUGCAUCCUGCAGUCACCCCAGGUUGUAGAGAUGAGUGGUGAAUGGUGUCUGCAUUAAAACUAUUAUCUGGGAAAAA